rnacentral:rRNA from 1 species
CAGUAGCCGCGGUAAAACGUAGGACCCGAGCGUUGUCCGGAUUUAUUGGGCGUAAAGCGAGCGCAGGCGGUUAGAUAAGUCUGAAGUUAAAGGCUGUGGCUUAACCAUAGUACGCUUUGGAAACUGUUUAACUUGAGUGCAAGAGGGGAGAGUGGAAUUCCAUGUGUAGCGGUGAAAUGCGUAGAUAUAUGGAGGAACACCGGUGGUGAAAGCGGCCCUCUGGCUUGUAACUGACGCUGAGGCUCGAAAGCGUGGGGAGCAAACAGGAUUAGAUACCCGCGUAGUCCCUGUCUCUUAUACA